CCUGCCCCCGCGCCGCCCGCUCGUCCGCCUGUCUCAGCAAGGCCAUCGGUCCGUCCGCCCGCCCGCCCUCCCGGCGAUCCUCCGCCCCGGUCCCGCUAGCCUGGACGCGCGCGUCGCUUCCUCCGUUCCGGUCGCCGCAAGCCGGCUCCCCGCCCCCGGGCCGGCCGCCACCUCUACGCUAGGCCGGGGAUUGGCAGCGCGCGUAGGCCGCGCCGCCGCUGAUGGAGCUGGAAUAAAGGGGCGGCAGAGAGAGCAGCUGGUCGCCGCUUGCCCCGCGCCUGGCUCCGCGGGCGGCCUGGAGCAGAACUGCUCACUGUGGAAGGCAGAGUUUCCCUGGCAGUGUUGGGACCCUGUCUUGAAGCACCCCCUGCCCUGUAGAUGCAGCCUUGUAUUCUGUCUCCUCACUUGAUGACUAGGGCCGUCUGACCAGUCCUCCUCCGUGCCUUGUCUGAGGUCCUUGUCCAUCCUUGAGAUUGGGCAACUUCUCUCUCUGAGUUGGGUCACCUUAAGCGGGAAACUGAAGCCAUUAAUCUCCAAAC
rnacentral:lncRNA from 1 species